rnacentral:lncRNA from 1 species
AUGCAUGCUGGCCGCCGUCAACGUGUCCGUCGGCAGCCUGCCUUGCAAGCCGAAGGCAUCCACCUUGCAGAGCAUCCACACCAGACAGUGCUUGGCAGGCAGCGGGAGGCUGUGUGUGCACCCACGUGUGCGUGGGUACGUGCAUGUACACGGCAGGUAGGAGUUAGGGGAUGGGACGGAGGCACUUUGGGGUCAAGCCCGGUGGACAGGCGGUCGCUUAACUAGGCUCUCUGAAGGGUCGAGGGACUGAAACCCAGUUCAUGUUGACGUAAGCCCGUGGGUGCGUGGGGGGGAGAGUGUUACGGGCUGGUGGGUCCACCCUGCCAAUUCACGUGUUGCAGCCCCAACCCUCAGCACCUCAGAAUGCACUGUUCUUGGAAAUAGGGUCUUUACGGAGGUGAUUAAGUUAAAAUGAAGCCGUUAGGGUCGGCGCUGAUCCAAUAUAACCGGUGUCUUCAUAGGAAGAGGGUCCUGGGACAGAGACAGGCACAGGGGGACGACCAUGUGAGCACAGGGGGAGAAGACAGCCAUCGACACGCGAAGAAAGGGGGUCUGACACCUUGAUCUUGGAUCUCCAGCCUCCAGAACUGUGAGAAAAAAAAAAUUUUAAUGUUUAUUUAUUUUUGAGAGAGAGAGAGAGAGAGCACGCAAGCGGGGAAGGGGCAGAGGGAGAGGGAGACACAGAAUCCGAAGCCGGCUCCGGGCUCUGAGCUGACAGCACAGAGCCCGGUGCGGGGCUCGAACUCACGAAUUGUGAGACCGUGACCUGAGCCCACGUCAGACGCUUGCCCAACUGAGCCACCCAUGGGGGGCGGGGGGGAAGGGUUAGGCCGUCACUCAACCAAAACUCAAGAGGCAGGGGUGGUUCCGGCAGGGACAGGGUGAUCCGGGCAAUAUAUGAUCUUCCUGCUGCCCUCAACGGUCUUGUAUUCUGGCUCUGGGUUUGUCCCUUUCUCUCGGGCAUCCUCUUGUGGGAGGGACAUGGCAGGCUGCAACCCCGGGGCACAUCUUCCAGCUCAAGAUCCCAGAGAAAAGUGAGCGCUGACCUUCCAGUCCCCAUUUUGGGCCCAUUUAGGUUCUGAUUUUCUCGUCUCAGGUCUCCGGGCCUGUUCCUGGGGCUCCGGCGCCUCCACCGGGCUGCAGAGCUGGGAUUGGUCCAGCCAGGGUCAGGUGACC